UUCUCACUGCAAUAUUUACUUUUCAGCUUCUGGCAACAAAUGGCCACAAACCGAUCAAAGGUGAAAGUGACGGUGAACCAGACAGAGCAGUCAGUGGCUGCAUAAAGCAGGACGGCGUGGAUAUUACACACGGGGACGGAGUACAGGAAAUAAAACUGUUCCCAAUAAACAAUGGGAAUGUGUCUCAGGAUCAGGUCGAGGAUAAUGACCAGGAGAUCCGCCGCUGCCAUGGCCCCCAGGUAUCUGUGUUAGUUGGCUGGAUACAGAAUUGGCUGGCCAACAGAAGACAGUGAGUGGUAGUGGAAGGAAAAUAUUCUGCCCGGAAGUCUGUGGGACAUAUAAAAAAUAUCUUCAAAUCGACCAAGACCAUUUUCUGCUCAGGGUAUGGCUCUGUGUAUGACAGCAGCAAUGAUGCACCGACAUGGAACAGGGAAUGUGAUGGAGACAUAGUUUGGACAAUGUACAAGGAGACCUCACAUGGUCCAGUAUUGGGAGAGAAUGACAUUAUUGUGUGAUUCAACUCAGAGAGGGAGACAAUGUCAUCUGCCAGAGAAGAAACAGCCUAUUGCACUCCCUCUCCUUCAUUAUUCCCCAUCACAGUAACAUGUACGAGAUAAAACAAAAGUCUACUGUCAUCAUUACCAUUCUUAUUUUUAUAGAAUCCUGCAGUGUGGAAACAAGCCCUUCGGCCCAACAAAUCCAUACCAACCUUCCAAAGAGUAACCUUCCCAUGCCCUUACAGUUACCACUGACUAGUUCACCUAAAGUAGAAAUCGCUGAACACUGUGGACUAUUUGACCAACCCACUUGAAUUAUACAGCUUUGGGCUGUGGGAGGAAAUGGGAGCGCCCAUCAGAAGCUCACGCAGACAAGGGGAGAAGAUGCAAACUCCACCCAGAUAGUCGCCCGAGGCUGGAAUUGAACUCAUACCCCUGAUGCUGUGAUGGAACACUGCGAACUCCUGAGCCACUGUGCUAACCUGGAACCUCCUGACUGCCGAAUGCAAAGGGAAUUCAGCCCAAUUCCAACUGUCCCAGGAUAAAAUCCCAUUGCUAGCAGCUGUGUGAGUACAAUAUCUUCAGAAGCAGAAUAACAUUUUGGACAAUCUCUCAAUUUUUCCUUUUGUCAUUAGUUACACAAAUAUUUGGACAAGGUUCUUUAACGUGAAAUUGCAGAAAGUCUGCGUGUGUGUGUGUGUGUGUGUGUGUGUGUGUGUGUGUGUGUGUGUGUGUGUGUGUGUGUGUGUGUGUGUGUGUUUUUAGAACGGGAAAUAUCGAGUCUUUGUUUGCAAUAUCCAGUUUGCCAUUCAGCAUUCCAUCAUAGUUGGAGUAGCGUUGCUCUGGAUCAUAAACGUGCUAUUUGAGCAGAUUAAAGAAACUAGCCUGACUUGUUCCUAAAACUGACCCUGACCCAGUCUGAGACCAAUAUCAUCGGCCACAUCACCGACCUGGUUACAUUUAACAUUUGUUGUGAACAGUGGAGGAGUGGGACUAGAAAAGGAGACAGUGACCCAAAAAGCCGGGGAACUAUAGACCGGUGAGCCUGAUGUCGGUGGUGGGUGAGUUGUUGGAAGGGAUUCUGGGGGAUAGCAUUUACAUACAUUUGGGAAGGUAAGGGCUGAUCGGGGUAGACAACGUGGCUUUCUGCAUGGGAAAUCAUGGGACAUUAAUUUGGUUGAGUUUUGUGAAGAGUUGAUACAGAAGAUUGAUGAAGGCAGUUUGGUAGAUAUUGUCAUUAUGGACCUCAGCAAGGUGUUCAUAACAUUCCGAUUGGUAGGCAGAUUAGUAAGGUUCGGUCACAUGGGAUACAGAAGAAGCUCGUCACAAUUGGCUUGAAGAAAGAGGGGUAUUUUUCAGCCUUGAGGCUUGUGAGCAGAAAUUGUACACUUAAUGGUAAGGGCCUGGUGAGUGUUCUGAAACAAAUGGACAUAGGGCUGCAGGUACCUUGUUCCUUGAAAGUGGAGUCGAAUGCAGACAGUGCAGUACAGAAUACAUUUUACACAUUUGCCUUAAUCAGUCAGAGCAUUGAGUAUAGGGGUUGUGGUGGCAUGUUGCAUCUGUUCAGGAUGUUGGUGAGGCCACUUUAAGAAUACUGCGUACAACUCGGUUUUCUGCAGAAAAGAUUUACACAGAUGUCCCAGGACUGGAGGUUUGCGCUUUCGGGAGAGGAUGAUUAGUUUGAGGUGUUUCCACCUGGAUUGUCAGAGCUUGAAGGGUAACAUUAUAGAGGUUUAUAUAAUCAUCAGGGACAUAGAUAUUCUGAACAGAUAUGUUCUGCUCCCCAGGGUAGGGGACUCCAGAACAGGAGUGCAUAGUUUGAAGAGGUGAGGACAAAUGACUUAGAAGGGACCUGAAGAUAAAUGUUUCACACAGAGAGUGGUGUGUGUACCGAAAGUGCUGUCAGAGGAAGUGGUGAAGGCAGUUACAAUCGCACAUUUAAAAAGUAUCUGAAAGAGGAGGGAUAUUGGCCAAACGCUGGCAAAUGGGACUGGAUCAGAUGUGAUAUCAGCUCGUUGUGAACAGAUUGGACUAACAGGUUUGUUUCUGUUCUGCAUGACACUGAUUCUAUAAGAGGGAUGACAAAAAAUUCUGAAAGUAAUGUCCAAAUCAGAAUCCUCUUCACUGGAAGUUUAUUAUGCCUCUAUGUUCACAUUGAUUAACAGUUAUGUUAGUGAAAUAUUUGACAGAGAACUGAGUCAUGGAUAAUGGGACGCAGACAGGAAAGUGGGGCUGAGACCACAACCUGAUCAGCCACAAUCUUAGUGCCUGGUGGAGAAGGCUCAAUGUAUCUAAUGACUCACUCCUGUCCCUCAAUCCCGUGUUCCUGUGUUCCAUUCAGCCCAUUAAACCUGUUCGGCAGGAGCAUUUAGAGGCUACUUACUUCUAUAACCUGGUGCACAGAAACCGAGGAGAUCAUUCGGCCCUUUAAGGGUGUCCCACACGGUUUGAGGUGAUUUGAGAAGUGUACUUAUAAAACCCAAGCUGGGUAUGAAAGAGGCCCCACAUCUCUCUGUACAGAGCUUCCUCUCUCUGAAACUUGUGCUCUAUUUCUUGGUCAUAUUGUAGACCCAAAUUCACUAUGAAUACAGCCCCCAUACCUCACCCAGCGAUGGCUCAUAAAAUCCUCUUGUCUCCCUGAUGGCAACAUUCAAUAACAGAACAUUCAUGAAAAUAUCACCCACUAACUUUCCAAUAACAGAAUGUGAGAACAUCAGACACAGGGGCAGGUCAUUCUCUCCCCAAGCCUGCCUUGCCCUUCACUAAGAUCAUGACUGAUCUGCUCUUGGUCUCAAAUCCUCUUUCAUACCCAAUUCCUCAUCGCCCUCAACUCUCUGACAGGUCAAUAUCCAUCUACCUCCUCUUCAAAUACUUUCAGUCAUCUGGCUCCCCGAACACUCUUGAGAAGAGAAACCCUGACAUUCAAUACCACCUAUUUGAAGAAAACCCUUGCUGCUCCUAUACCAUGGCUUAUUGAUAUGAACAAAAGGGGUUGAUACAAGGGGUCAGGUAAAAAUGAUUGACCCUGAUAUCAAGGCUUCUGUUGACAUCAAGGAGCUGAACAAAUCUGAACUUAAUGGAAUCAGAGUAAACUCUCCAGUGUUUGGAGUCAAACAUGGCACAAAGGAAGAUGUUCAUCAUCUCAGUCCUGGGUCACCUCUGUGGGAGAUCCUCAGGGUAGCUUCCUCUUCACAAACAUCUUCAGCUGCUUCAUCAAUGUCUCCCCACCCUCACUCUCCCCGCCAUAAGAUCAGAAGUGGGGAUGGUCACCUAGGAUUCCACAAUGUUCAGAAUAAUUUGACGCCCCCGUCAGCUCCUGAACUGGACUGUGUCCAUGUGCAGCAAGACAUGGACUCCAUUGAGGCUUGUGCUUUUAAAGAGUCUGUAACAUUCAUAUAAAGGACUGUCUGACACUACACAUUGCCACAGUAAACUAAGAGUUCAUUCCGCACCUUACACUGGUUUCACAGGAAUAUGAGGAGGUCAUUCAACCCAUUGACACUAUUAGAGAAGAACAGGGACAGCCCAUUCAGUGCCUCCAACAUAUUACUCAAGAAGGGAAGGAUUCUAGUGUGAUGGGCCACACCAGAGCCCCUCGACAAUAUUUGAAGGCGGUAGCCUAGACUCUAAUGUUUUCUUAUUUUAAAGAAAAUGUAAAAUGUCUGUUCCAGAUGCAAUGUUACUGGACAAACAACUCGGUGUGAAGCAUAACCCCAUUUGCUUAAAUACGAUAGAUGAAAUAAAACCAAAGAAAGAAGAAUUUAGAAUAAUGUAAUUAUAUUGGACAAGUUAACAGAACAAUAGAUCUAGGAACUAAUACUAAUGAACUGUUCCAAUACUGGAAAAUCACAUGAACACAGCCCUUGGAAAAAAGGAAUAUUCAGACACUGAAUGACACAAAUAUUUCUCCA